rnacentral:rRNA from 1 species
UACAGAGGGGGCAAGCGUUGUUCGGAAUUACUGGGCGUAAAGGGCGCGUAGGCGGCCUGUUAAGUCGAACGUGAAAUCCCCGGGCUCAACCCGGGAACUGCGUCCGAUACUGGCAGGCUUGAAUUCGGGAGAGGGAUGUGGAAUUCCAGGUGUAGCGGUGAAAUGCGUAGAUAUCUGGAGGAACACCGGUGGCGAAGGCGGUUCUCUGGGCAUGUCCUGACGCUGAGGAGCGAAAGUGUGGGGAGCGAACAGG